GUCGGUCUUUUGGCUGCGACGGAAAGCGCCGCCGCCAUAGUAGACGAUGACGUCGAGGUUCGAGUCGGGCCGUGCCCAGGCCGGCACGUAAAUGUCGACAUAGAGGCAAUCCUCGCUCACGGGGUAGGCGCUGCCGCUUUGCGGGCACACGGGGCCGAUGGCGGUGGCGUUGCGCACGCCGCGCCACGGGAGAGGGUCCACAGGCGGCGCCAAACGCAGCGUGCCUACAGGCGGCGCGGCAAACGGUACGCCGAGGUAUUGGACGACGCCGUCAAUGCGCUUGCCUUGCAGGCGGCCGUACCGGGUGGACACAACAGUGCGUCCGCCGGGACAGCCAGGCGAGGCAUUAGGAGCAUCGAGACGCGGCAACGCAUCAACGGCAAAGGUCGUGGUGGCGGCUAUCGCGAGCAACAGCAGCAGGCAGCCGGCAACGUUGGUAGGAGCCAUGGUCGAGGAAUAAAAACGACAAUGUCGGCGACUCUUGGAUCUAGAGGCCUGGACGCCACAAACAAUUCGAAAAAACAUAAAAAAUGAGGGUCCAAGUCCUCGGCGG
rnacentral:lncRNA from 1 species